rnacentral:lncRNA from 1 species
CACGAUAUUAAAUUUAUUUAUUUAGGGGGAGGGUCCAUCACAGUAGCUUGCUACUGGGGCUCUUGAUCGUCGCCUUUGCGCUGCACUAUAGCAUUGGCCUGGCGCACCCCACCAACUCUAUUACCCAAAGCUUUGAUUUGUAGAGUGAAGUUUCAAUGCUCCGCUGCAUCUUUAGAUGAUUUGAUUGUUGGUGUUUUUUCAGUAAACAAGUGCAGACUGGAUUGACUUGGAAAAAUACUUCCAAUGUGAGUAUCGUUUACAAGUGGACUUGAGUUAUUGUCUUUCUUCAUCAAUGUGGUGUAACCGAGUUUGUUCUUUUAUGUAAAUUGUUCGUUUAUUUUUUUUGGAGUUUGAUUAGCCGUUGAUGCAAUGAGUGACAUUUACUUCUUCCAAGCCAAAUUACAGAAUCCUAUAAAAUUGAAAAAGAUUUUCCAAGAAUCAAACCAUUUAUCAGAAUCAGCACCGGUAAUGGCAUCCUUAUAUUAGGAGUUUGAUUAGCAUGUUCACACUCAUAUUCUAUCAUUGUUUAAAAUUCUUAAAUGCUUUGUACUUGUGCUUAAGAAAGUAAAAAAGACACCUAAAGAUCAUCAUGGAUAUAUAUAAUUCAAAGUAGUCUUGGUCUUGUGAAUCUCAGAAUCAAAGUUAACCCUCUUUAUUUACCCAAUAUUUACUAUGAUCACAUAGAAGAUUUCUCUUGCUCAACUUAUAAUCAAAGUUAGUCCUAGUCACUCAUGUGUCCCAGCAGUAUCAUAUGCCACAACAAGGUUAGAAUCGAAUCUAACAUAGAUACAAGGAAACUACGUACAAUAUAUCCAAUUAAUGUAACACCCUACAGCAUAUAUAGGUUCGGCAAAAUCAUUUCUGCCCUCAUGGUAACAAGUGCACCUUUGCUAACUUGCAUAACUUCAACUUCAACAGAAGUACUUUUACGUUCUUAUUACCAAGAAUACCAGAGAAAUCUAACUUCUCUUUAUUUUAGAAAAAUGCGUGACAUUAGUAAAUGUCUUAACUACUCUAUCAUAUAUUUUGAUCCAAACAAUCCCAACUCAAACAAUCUUUAUAAGAGAAUUAUCACCUAUCAAAAUAACAACGUGUAAACCACCUCAAUCUGAAUCCCAGGUCGAAAAUCUGACAGGGUAGGAAGUCUGACACAGGCGGUGGUCACCUACAACAAUGUAUAAACCACCUCAAUCGGAAUCCCACAUCGCAAUAUUUACGAGGAGCCAAGUCCCAAGCUAGUAUAAAAAUAAAAGUUCCUGCUGGUUGUUAACCAUCUUUGCGCUUGGGGCAAUGACGCAGCUAGUGAGGUUCUAACCGAGGCGCGUCAAUUGCUGGUUGAAAACUAUAUCCAAACCCCCUCUUUGGCCUAGGUCUUGCCUAGGCCUUUGAGAAUUUCUGGAAGGGCUCCCUCCGGGGUAAGGCCCUGCAAUUCUAAGUUCAAAUUAUUAAGUGUUAAAAAUAUUAAUUCAGUAGAUUUCAGAUGAAUGCCUCCUCGUACGUAGGUUCAGAAGGAAAAAUUAAUGUAAUAUAGUUCUAAAUGUAUAGUUAGUGUCGGAUCAUUUGACUAUAAAUAGAGUUUCAUACAUUGUACAAUUUUCCAUUGCUUUUCAUUAGGUUUGGAUUUGUGGUACUUCGUGAGGCUAUCAAACAGGCUCAGUAUGUCUUUGAAAGUUUGAAUACCCUGAAAUUGCCUUACAAUUCUGAAAUUUUGACGGAUGACAUGAUGAAGACUGCUCAAUUGGGGCACUUUAUUAUUUCAUGAACAAAAAUACUUGAGAGUUACGAAGUGAAAAUGGAUCUUCACAUUUGCAUGGAAAACUAUUUGAGCUCCUAAGUUAUUACACCACACAAGAAGAGUUGUAGUAGAGAUUUCGAGUUCAAGAAGUGGAAACUUGACCCAUUAUAAUUAUGUAGUAGCAUUAACAGUGACCUUGUACUCUACCUUUGUAGAAGACUGAGAACCAAUAUGUUUUCCUUGGAAUCAGGUUUCGAUCAAGAAAAAUAGUAUAACCAUUAGUAGAUUUUCAGUCUUUAAUACUACCAACCCAAUGAGAAUUACUAAACCAAUUUAGAGAGAGAGAGAUCAAUCUUACGAGUCAAUUUCAAAUCAAGGGAUAAAAUGCCAUAUAGAUAGUGCAAGAUACAUUUAACUACGAAUCAAUGAAUUUUAGUGGGAGAAUGCUUGAAUUAGACUAUGCACGUGAUAAACAUAUAUAAUUUAUAUGCCUAACUAUCUAUUGUAUUAUGGUCCAUUAUACAAAGCCUAUUAAGUUUAUCUAUCGUUACUAUAUAUAUAUAUAUAUAUAUAUAUAUAUAGACAAGCCCAGUCUGUAUUCUGUCGUCCCAUAUUGCAAAAAUAACAAAGGGCACAAGCAGGAGCACACUAUAAAAGAAAGCUGACUACCUCUGAAUCAAUCAUACCUUUCUCGGCCUUUUGGCUAAGAUCAAGUGUAUUAUCUGUUCUUAAUAUCUGAUACGUGGGCUAAUGGCUCACAUGAUAUUAAAUUUAUUUAUUUAGGGGGAGGGUCCAUCACAGUAGCUUGCUGCUGGGGCUCUCGAUCGUCGCCCUUGCGCUGCACUAUAGCAUUGGCCUGUCGCUCCCCACCAAUUCUAGUCUGAUGUUUUGAUUUGUAGUGUGUGAGGUUUCAAUCAUCUUAGAUGAUUUGUCUUUUAAGAUUAAUUAAUUGUUUCCAUGUUGAUUUAAUUUGUAGCAUAAAUUAAAUCAACAAAUCCUUUGAUUUUCUACAAAUUUCCUUUCAAGUGUACUGAUCCAUGCAACUUGACCACUUAUUUUGAAUGAAUGGGUUCGGAGGAAAACUGAAGGCUAUGGAGAUACUGGAAUCAACGAUCUGGUUCAUCUUCUGUAAAAGAGAAAAGAAAAUGAAGUUUGGGAAACACUCCAUGUUGUAGCUGAAAUCAUUUCAAAGAAAAUAAAUGUAAUGUAUUGAUUUGUUAACUUCACGCAUAAGUGAAUAUUACAGCAUGGAAUUGAAAUCAGAUCGUGAUAUAUGUCUCAUGUGCUUGUCGGUCUAGACACUGUUGAUUUCAAGUCAUCGCGGCUUCUCAAAGCUGCUAUGUUUGAUGAGGAAUUGAUGUAGUCGGGCCUACAAUAUCAGGUGGUUUUUAAUAAUUAGGUGUGAGUUUGUCAUAAUUAGAUGAUGAUUUGUCUCCGACAAAUUGCAUGGAUAGCCUAGCAGAAGCAUUUAUGAAUCAGUGGAAUAGGUCUAAAUUUAAAAAGGGGACGAUAAUGCUAGACCAAAAUAAUUAUAGCUCAAAAACACUUUAAUUUUUUAUUCGACUAUUGGACUGCAUUCAAAUUUUUACAUGAGUUUUCGGAGGCUAUUUUCCCCACAUUAGUCAUUGUGUCGCCACAAGAACCGUCAAAUCUUUAGAUAUAAAAAAUCUCACCGAUACCCUCGGUUUUGAUAAUUUUUGUAAUUUUCCUUGGCAAUUCCAGAUUUGGGAGCCCUUGGCUAGCAUAAAUUAUUUGUAAUACUCCAUAAAAUAUUAUCUAUGAUUUAUGGGGUAUCCCUGCAGACAUAACAAAGCAUGAAUUUGAGGCUUUGGAAGCCCUCUAUAACAACAGUGUCAUGAUCCCAAAGUACUUCCAGUCAUUGUUGUUAAAAUUAAAGGAUUAUCUUAUUCUUUUGAAAGAAUAUUUUAGAUAGAGGUUAUGUCUUUAGGCAGCGCCAUUGAUAACAAAAUGAGACAUCUGCCUUAUGCGAGCUCAACCUAAGAUCCACUUCAUUAUAAUUUUAAACACUUUCAAAUGUGAGAUCCGCAACAUCACUAGAUUAAUGAUGGAAAAAAGUUUGAUUUAAAAAAAAGGAAAGAAGAAGAAAGAAACAAUAGUCUUUUCAGAUGAAAAAAAAAAUAUAAAGAAAAAAAAAAAGAAGCAAUGAAAUAGAUUAAAGUAGUGUUAGGUUACUAUUUUCAGAUGUAAGAGACAUAACAACUAAGAUAAAGGGGACAGGACGAAAACAAAUGAGUCGACGAUGGAGUUGGUUGAUGAGGAAAAAGAAAGAAUAAAAUUGGAAAAAUCUGAUUUAAUCUUGAUAUGUAUUAUCAUCGAACUUCCAAUGGUUAAAACUAUGAAAUAUUUCUCCACUCAUCAAAAUUAUGUUAAAAAGGAUUUGUAAUCAUCGUAGAAAAUAUAAUAGAUUACCAAGAAGAUAAUAUAAGUAAAUUAUGAUAUUUCCUAUGGUCUCUCAUUCUCUCCCUUGUUUGUAUUUCUGUAUUUUUUUGUAAAAACAUUCUUCUAUAUUUUUUAGUUCUCAGAUUUAUAUGUGAAUUUUUGUAAGUUAAUUAAAAUCAAUUGUACAGAUAUGAACGGAAGGGCCGGGAUUAAAAUUAUGCUAGAAAUUAUUUGUAAUAUAGAGACAAAAACCUAUUUUUUUCUGUCUUGACAAUCAAAUGUGUUUUCCUCCCUUGUGUCUCCAUUUAUUCUGUCUUGAUCAAACAACAAGAAAUUGUUUUAUCUUCAUCGUGUGAGAUAUGAGCUAAAAACUACCUUUAAGCACCAGAAUUAUUAAUCUUGUUAUUGGAAAAAUAACAUAAGGGUGAGCUAGAAAGCAGGGGGCAAGAAAUUGCAUGGAAACAAGAAGUUUUGGCUCCUUAGUUCAGUAUAAUUUGGUCAAUAUAAAAGCAUAAUUGGCUAUGCACUCUUAGCUAUGCCCAAGCCGUGCAGGGGACUUGGCAAGCACAAAACCUUUUGUCGCCAGCCUUGUGUUUUACGCCCCUUGGUGAAAUAAUAGAAGCAUAUUCCGAAGUAACGAGCCCAGUCUGUAUUCUGUCGUCCCAUAUCGCAGAAACAACAACGGGCAGUAGCAGGAGCACGCUAUAAAAGAAAGCUUACUAGCUUUGAAUCAAUCAUACCUUUCUCGGCCUUUUGGCUAAGAUCAAGUGUAGUAUCUGUUCUUAUCAGUUUAAUAUCUGAUACGUGGGCCAAUGGCUCACACGAUAUUAAAUUUAUUUUUAGGGGAGGUAGUAGCUUGCUCUCUCAAGCGUCGCCUUUGCGCUGCACUAUAGCAUUGUUCUGGCGCACCCCACCAACUCAAGUACCCAAAGUUUUGAUUUUUAGUGUUAGGUGUCAAUGCUCUUCUGCAUCUUUAGAUGAUUUGAUUGUUGGGGUUUUUCAUGAUUCAGUGCCGUCUAGAAUGAUUUUGAAAACUAAUCGAAUAGAAGAGAAUCGAAUCUGUCUCCAAGAAUCUUUAGAGUUGGAAAUCAAAGGAUUUUGUUGAUUUAAUUUAUGCUACUCAUAGUAUAAACUCAAAGACUUGAAAUGGGAGUGUAAAAGUAUUACACCUGGACAAUUAGACAUCCAACUUGUAAUCGCAACGAUCCAAUUGCAAGAGUAGAGCUCUCUAUCAACCAAACAAUACCCUCCCGAGCCAAGUGGAGCAUGCAUGAAGUAGUCAGAUGCUACUAUUAUUUUCUUUUCUUUGGCGUGGCUAGGCCAUCUUGAACUUGAACUAGAGACCUCUCUCGUAGAGUAAAUCAUCGCACCUAUGGUCUACCCAAUUGGGAGAGAAUCAAUAGAUUCCUUUUUGGGAUAUUAAUUUUUUUUUUUAAAGGGAGAGUCCAUCACAAUAGCUUGCUACUAGGGCCCUCAAGCGUUGCCUUUGCACUUCACUGUAGCAUUGGCCCGGUGCUCCCCACCAACUAGAGUCCCAAUGCUUUGAUUUGUAGUGUGUGAGGUUUCAAUGCUCCACGGCAAGGUUGUUAAAAUCGCGAUUCAAGUCGUAAAAUCGUACAUUUUUACGAGUUAAUAUAGACUUUACGUGCUAAAUCGUUUAUAAAACUCGAAAAUGAACAAAAUCGGGUCUUGAACAGUUAAAAUCGUUAAAAUGGGGUGAAAUCGUAUAAAAUCGCGAUUUCAUACUCGAUUGUACGAGUUUCCCCGCAGGAUAUAAAAUUUCAUUGUUUCUGCCACGUGUCACCCGCUUGUUGGAUGGCACAGAUCGAAGGCAAUUGAAUUCACGCCUUCACGGGCAAACCUUGCUCCAGUCUUCUCUCGCUCAGUCUUCUACUCUUCUCUCGAAAAUCCAAAUUGAAAAUCCCAAAUUAACAUCCCGAAUCAGUCUUCUCUUGCAGCUUGCUCUUAGCCAACAAUCAACCACCGUCACAGUCCUCGUUCGUCACUCGUCCCUCAUCUGCAUUAUUUUUCAGUCUCAGUUCUUUCCACCGGCCAUUGUGAGAAUCACAGCCCACAGUCCACGCUCCACACAACAACAACGGUCAACGGCGUCUCUCCAUUCUUCACGAGGUAAGUUACACUGUCCGUUUAUCUUGUUUCUUUAGUCUUCAAGUGGGUUUAUUUUUUGUCCCUGUCAGUUUAUUAGUCUGAAUCUGAUCACUGAUGUUAAUGUUAGUUUGAUUGAGAACUGCUCACUUCUCACGGCGUCUCUCAACCUCGGUGCUCACUGCUCAGAACAGAGGUAAACUAAUUGGCACUACAAUGGGUUGCAUUAUUUCACCUUGUGUCUUUUGACUAUUUUUCAAGGCAUUCAAGGAUCUUGGGAUUCCUGGAAGUCAAUACCCUGCUCCUAAUGCUACUGUAUUUCGAAACAUGGCUAUAUUGGGGGUAGACAGAUUCUCGUCUCUACCAAAGAAUUGCCUCUAUCUUUGCUGUGGGUUCUUCAGUGCCGCUAUUCUGAUAAAUUUAAUGAAGGAUGCAUUGGGUAAGAAAUGGGCUAGGUUCAUUCCUAAUCCAAUGGCGAUGGCUAUACCUUUCUAUAUUGGCUCAUACUUUGCCAUCGACAUGUGUGUGGGAAGCUUGAUUCUAUUUACCUGGGAAAAGAUUGACAAGGCAAAGACAGAUGCUUUUGGGCCAGCAAUGGCUUCUGGUUUGAUUUGCGGGGAUGGGAUAUGGACUUUGCCUAGUGCGAUACUUGCUCUAGUAGGAGUAAAACCUCCCAUUUGCAUGAAGUUUUUAUCAAGGGGAACAAAUGCUAAGGUCGAUGCGUUCUUAGGGUCAUAAAGUCGAAGUUGCGUAAAGGGAGUCGCCACCUAGUAUUCUGGUUACUAGGAACCUUAACUGGUCUUUAGAGAUCGGGUACGGAGACUGGUUGCGUAAAGGGAAGGUAUUAGCACCCCAACUACGCCCUACCUAAGGUAGGCUGCAUUGUUUUAAUGUCUGAUAAAAUCUAAGGUUGUGUUGUGGUUUUUGAAUUGUUGGUUCGUUUACGGUUUAAGAAAAGUCCUCCUCUGUAAGGAGGUCCUUAUCUUUAUCGGGUAAAAAAAAAACUAACUAUUCGAAGUCGUCAAAAAAAAAUAUUUUUUUUUAAUAUCAGGAAUACGAUUUACGUAUAAAUUCAUAAUCCCUGAUACUAAAAUCAAACAAAAUAAAAUAUUUUGUUGUUUUUGAAAUUUUGGCCAAUGUUCUCUUGACUUUAAUAAACUGGUUAUUAAAGCCAAAAUGCAUGCUAAAAUAUUGUUUUUUGACAUAUGAAAAAUACGAUAUGAUUUUUUUUAGAUUUGAGACACUUGGCCGUAUGCACAAAAACAUUUUUUUUAUUUUUUUUCAAUUUUUUGUUAUUUUUGGAAGUUUUUGCUGAAAACCGGGUAUUUUAAUACCGGAUUUAUAUGUUUAUGAUGUAAAAAUACUGCCCGAUAUUAAUAAAAAAUGACAUAAAAACUACGUGGAAAAAUUAUAAAAAUGCUGAAACAAAUAUUUUUGAUUUUUGAUUUUUUUUUUUUUGCAUGUGUGAACAGUACCGUAUGAACAGUACCGCGGGACGAAAAUCAGGUAUUUUAAUACCGAAUUUAUAUUUUUUUACGAUGUAAAAUACAGACCGAUAUUAAGCAAAAUUGAUAAAAACAUGUGCUGGAAAAAUUGUAAAAAUUCUAAAAAAUAAAAAUAAAAAUAAAAAAAUUGAAAUGGGCCGGACCCGACCCAUUUCAGUGGGCUGGGCCGAACGGCCCAAAACUAAAUGGGCUGGUUACUGUGCAUAAGCACAGUAACCAGCCUCUCAUCAGUUGCAAAACGUGAAUUAAUUCACGUUCUGCAUGAAAAUAGAGAAGGCAGUUGCAAAGGAGAAGGAGACGGGGCAGAGGUUGUUACCUGUGGUGGCGUCGUGGCGGUGCUGCUGGCGGCGACGGAGGCGGAGGCGCAGUGGCCGGCGGGUUUUCUUCUCCUUUUCCUCUGUUUUUUCCUCUUUUCUUCUGUUUCUGUUUUUUUUUUUUCUCUUUCUUCUCUUCUCUCUUCUCUCUCUCUUCCUUCUCCCCUCUGCUGUCUCUUUCGUUCCCUCUUCUCUCUCGGUUUUCCCUUCUGUCUCUCGUCUCCCUCUUCUCUCUCUUUUUCCCUUUUCUCUUCUUUUUUUUCUCCCUCUUUUCUUCUUUUCUCCCCUGUUUUUAUAGGCAAAAAACAGGGGAGACGACUGUUGGGGCGGCCACUGUUGGCCGCCCCUCCACUAUCCAAGUGGGAAAAAGUAUGCAAGUGGCUAUUGUGGGCGUCUUUUUGCGCAAAAGAAGGAAAGAAUUAGGCGAAAAGGGGAAGAAAAAAUCUUCUUCUUCCCCUGCCUCGCGUGUCCAGGGGAAGAAGAAGAGCUACAGUGCCGUCAAAACGGCACCGUUUUGGGCUUCUUUUUUUUUUUUUUUUUUUUUUUUUGCAACAGUGAAUGAAACGGCGCCGUUUUGGUCAAAACGCGCCGUUUCAUUUAAAAGGAAAAGGCGCCAAAAGUCAGAUUCAAAUUUCGGCCCUCCAUUUGCGCGCGUUUUACAAUUAGUCCUUGGUCUCGGAUUUCUUCAAUUAAGUCCCUAAUUGGCCAUUAAACUUCAAUAUUUAUGCAAUUAAGCCCCUGAUUUGACCAAAUUAACUUCCAAAAAUUAUAAUUUGACCCCAGAAAAUUAAUUUCUCCUAAUUAAAGCCCAAAUUAACUCCAAAAUCAAUUUUUCUUGCAAUUAAAAUCUCAUAAAUUCAAUUAAACCUUAAUAAAAUUUAAUUGAGUCCAUAAACUUCUGAUUUUGCAUUUUUCUUCCACAAAUUGAAUUUUCUUUAUCAUCGGGGCUCUCAUCAGUCAAUGAUAUACUGUCAAAAAAUAAUUUUUAUAUUUUUGAAAAUCCUCAAUCAAUUUUUGAGCAUUUUUAGGGCGUUCUGGCAUUUUUUUACUGUUAUAUUUUUGAUAAUAUAUUUUUUGAAUUUUUUUGUAUUUUAUUAUUUUUUAUGUGGGGACCCAGAAAUGGGUUACAACAGUUGCCCCCCUCUUUACAAUGCUUACGGAGCAAAGAUUUGUGCAUAGUAAGUGUUGUAAAGAUAAAAUAAAAUUGGUUUUCCAAAACGGGUCGUCUCAAAAUUUGAUUGACCUAAAACUUCAACCGGACCCAAAGUCCUGUGUGUGAUUGGGCUAAACUGAGAUUUCUUUCGGCAAUCCCCUCUAACCAGAACCAAAAUCCUGUGUGGUUGGGAUAGACUGAGAUUCCUUUCGGCCAUCCCCUCUAACCAGAACCAAAAUCCUGUGUGGUUGGGAUAAACUGAGAUUCCUUUCGGCAAUCCCCUCUAACCAGAACCAAAAUCCUGGUGUGUGUAGCUCGGUCAACCUGAAAUCCUAUAUGGAGAUUCCCUUUAACCAAAGCUACAUGAGAUCCCAUCUGGCAACCUCAUUUAACCAAAACAAAAGAAAAUAUGAAAAAAAACGGUCUCAUUGUAAUGGGUGACCCACCCAGAUGAAAAAAAGAAGAGUAGUCGUGUUGUAAUGGGUGACCUACCCAGGUGGAGGAAUGGUGUCAUUGUAAUGGGUGACCUACCCAAAAACAUGGAGAAAUGGAUGACGAGGGCUCAAAGGCGCACUCGAAAAGAGGUAGGGUUAGAAAACGUACUACCAAAGGAUAAGGGCUCAAAGACGCACUCAAAAUGGAGGUGAGGGCUCAAAAGCGCACUCAAAAGGAGGUAGGGUUAGAAAACGCACUACCAAAGGAUGAGGGCUCAAAGGCACACUCAAAAGAAAGGUGAGGGCUCAAAGGCGCACUUAAAAGGAGGUAGGGUUAGAAAACGCACUACCCAAGGGAUGAGGGCUCAAAGGCGCACUCAAAAUGGAGAUGAGGGCUCAAAGGCGCACUCAAAAGGAGGUAGGGUUAGAAAACGCACUACCAAAGGGUGAGGGCUCAAAGGCGCACUCAAAAUGAAGGCGAGGGCUCAAAGGCGCACUCAAACGGAGGUAGGGUUAGAAAACGCACUACCAAAGGGAUGAGGGCUCAAAGGCGCACUCAAAAUGGAGGUGAGGGCUGCGUCGGUGCUCAAAGGCGCACUCAAAGGAGGUGGCUCAAAGGCGCACUCAAAGGAGGUAGGGUUAGAAAACGCACUACAAAGGGAUGAGGGCUCAAAGGCGCACUCAAAAUGGAGGUGAGGGCUCAAAGGCGCACUCAAAAGGAGGUGAGGGCUCAAAGGGCACUCAAAAGGAGGUAGGGUUAGAAAACGCACUACCAAGGGAUGAGGGCUCAAAGGCGCACUCAAAAUGGAGGUGAGGGCUCAAAGGCGCACUCAAAAGGAGGUAGGGUUAGAAAACGCACUACCAAAGGGAUGAGGGCUCAAAGGCGCACUCAAAAUGGAGGAGGGCUCAAAGGCGCACUCAAAAGGAGGUAGGGUUAGAAAACGCACUACCAAGGGAUGAGGGCUCAAAGGCGCACUCAAAAUGGAGGUGAGGGCUCAAAGGCGCACUCAAAAGGAGGUGAGGGCUCAAAGGCGCACUCAAAAGGAGGUAGGGUUAAAAACGCACUACCAAAGUGAUGUUGAAACAAUGAUUGUCAAUGUUGAAAAGCAAAUGCAUUAUGAUUGAUAUGCAUGUAUACUUACCUGAGAAAUAUAGGCCCCCAUUUCUUCAUGGUGUCUUUGUUUUCUCUCAAAAGUUGUAGUGUUGGUAGUAAACUUCGAUGGCUUUUCCACUUUUGCUUACUCGGGUUACAUAUUGUGAUCUUGACCUCUGGGAAGGGUUUGAUGUCAUCAUACAUCUUUGUCCUUCACCCUUUAUCUCAAGAGUUGCCAAUUUUGCCCGACAUUUUCCUUAGAAAAGGAAUCAUGGAGCCAGCCCUACCAUGUGUGUUUGAUUGCCCCCCAGCUUGAUCAUGCCCCCCAAGUGUUCAACUUGGGUUUAGUUUGGGGUGAGGAUAUGUGAAAGUAAGUUUGGGUUUUUUGUACAAUGAAAUGUUUUCAUGCAAAAUUUUUGGAACUUCCAAGUUAUUCCAAUCAUAAAAAUGAUUUUGAUAUUGGUUCAAAAUAAACUUGUUCUAAAAAAUUCAAGUGAUUCCUAUGGACAGGUUUCUUGAAGUGAUGAAAGCUUUUUGCUUUUGUUUAAAGAUGAAGUGACAUCUGGUUGGUCACAAAAGUUUUAAAUUUCAAUUUGAGGGUUAUUGAGAACCAAAUUGAUUCAAAGCAUUUAUUUUAUUUGCAUGAAUAAUGAUUUGACUCGCACGAGAAAGCACUACAUACCGAUCCAGAUUGCUUGCCUUUGAUCAGAAAGGGCUUUAUCAGGUAUGUAAUGUAGGCUUUGGCUAUUGGUUACGAAGAAAAUGGAUAUGUUGCAGGCUCAAAAAGUGUUUAAGGGAUUUCAAGACUAGGGAUCACUUGUGCUUGUUUCCUGACCUUUUGUCUUUUGGAAUUGUUUUUUUUCAAAAUGAUUUAUCCUGCCCCCCAGUGUCGGGUUUGGGCUUUUCUCUUUGUUUUCUUCGUUUUUGUUUUGUUGAGCACAAUCAUAUCAGUUGUUUGUAUGAGAAGCUCAAAUCUUUUAGAUCCUUUAGAUCUUCUUCUUUUCUUUUCUUAACCAAUCACUGCUUCAUUUAGAUGAUAAUGAAAGAUUAAAAUUACAUGAUCAAAUCCAGCACCCAUCUUCACUGCUUUGUCUGGAUGGUAAAAAAACUCUCUUAUUUUGCCCCCCAGUGUGGGGUGUGAUCCUAGUCAAGGUUAUUUCCAAAAAACAUUACUAGGCUCAAAAUGGGACUGCAACGGAUAUUUUUUAGCCUUGUGAAAGGAUUAUCAAAGAUGGCCUUUCCUCAUCUCAAACUCAUGCAUUGAGGAUCGAUAGGUCUUGCUUUCAUGCGCGUAUGCCAAAUGAUUUAUUCAGUCAAAUAAAACUCAGCUUUUGAGUCACCUCAUAGUGUUGUUUUCUUUGUUUUUUUUUCUUUCAAGUUUUCUAGGUAUAUGUGUACCUAUUGAAGGAAUCACUUGAAUUUCCAGAAUGCAUUUGUUUUGGACAAAUAUCAACAUGAUUUUUGUUUUUUUGUACUCACUUUGGAGGUCCCAAAAAAAUAUUCUUGAAAACAUAUGAGAUUAAUGUAUGGGUUUGGAAGAAAAAAGGAAUACCAAAGGAUUUUUCAUGUUUGUAGUGUUGUGAGCAAAGUUGCGCUCAAAAUGUUAUUUACAUGUAAUAACAACAAAGAAGAGUGUGAUGUGAACACAAGAAAACACAUGAUCUUAUUUCACAAGAGAAACUCAUUAACAGAGAAAGUCUUAUUCAAAAGCAUUAACAAAAGGCAAUAACAAGGCAGGCUUCAUUCCUCUAUUUUGGCGAAUCUGUUCAUAGGCUAACCUCCUCUCAAAAGCUCUGUGUAGAGGACUCAAAGACAAUGCGGAACAACACCACGGUCAAAAUUUGAGUUCUACAAAAUUCAAGCUAUCAUGCUGGACCAUUGAUGCUUUCCAAUUCCCCAAACAUUCCAUCCUAAUAUGCUUCAAGCAUGAUUAGGCAACGGGUUCGUAUUCACAUUGGGGGUUCUUCCAAUUCUAUCCACCAGCCUUGAUUAAUUGCAGAAGCUUUCUCUUGAAGGCGUUGCAGGUAUAGAUGCUAUGCCCAGUAAUACCGGCAUGGUAUUCACAAUUGAGUUCUGGCUUGUACCAAUUAGGAUAAGGUGGCUGCAGAGGUGUUAGAGGUUCUGGAGCUAUUUGCCCGAUGCUUAAUAGCUUUUGAUACAUCUCAUUCAGGGGUAACGGUAGUGGAGGUAGUUGUUCUUGAACCCUUUGGAAAUUUCCAAUUUGGCUUUUGGCUUGAAAGUUUUGGGGUUCAGGUUUUUUGAUGUUGGCAAUUUGGGAUGGAGUAUGGUAAUUUUGGGAUGUAUUUGUUUUACCCAUGUAGCCAUCUUCAACAUGGUGAACCUCUUUUCUUUCGACGCCUCUUUUCUCGGUUGGUGCAGCAAUUCUACCACUCUUGACACCUUGCUCUAUGCGUUCACACACACUAUCACAGCAUCAGUGAAUUGUUGGGCUGAACUACCCAUCAUAUGUUCGUAAUAUGGUGCUUUGAGUGUGUUGGCAAAUAAAGAGACCAUCUCUUUGUCCAGAAGUGGGGGAUGUACUUGAGCAGCUAAUUCUCGCCAUCUUUGAGCAUAUUCCCUUAUGCUUUCUUUAUCCUUUUUCUCUAUAUUGGACAAACUGGUUCUGUCGGGCGCAAUGUCCAUGUUGUAUUGUAUUGCUUGACGAAAGCAUCCACAAGAUUUUUCCAGUUGCGAAUUUUUGUGUUAUCCAAUCUCAUGUACCAACUCAAAGUUGCCCCACUUAAACUGUCUUGGAAAAAGUGCAUUAGUAGUUUUUCAUCAUGUACUACCUCAGCCAUUUUAUUGCAGUAAGACCUGAGAUGAGUCAUGGGGCAUUGUGUUCCACUGUAUUUGAUGAAUUCAGGAACACGAAAUUUCUUUGGGACAACCACAUUUGGGACCAAACACAUCUCUGCUGCCCGGACCGGGUCAUAUAAGUCUAUCCCUUCAAUGGCUUUAAGUCUGGCUUCCAGCGCCUCUAUCUUAGCUUGAUCAAUGCUAUCAGAUGACUUAGCCUUGUGGGACUCAUUAGCAGAUGCCUUCACGACUGUUGGGGAUGGUGCAGGUGUCGUUGACUGCACAAAUGUUGGAUUUUGCUGAGGUUCUUGACCAUGUUCGCUCAUUCUUUCCUCAGGCUGAACUGUAGUAGGAGCCGGAUUAAAGGUGAUCGGUUGAUUAGAAGGACCUUCAUCAGAGGUAUUUCUUAAUGUUUGCUUGAGUAAGCUAGUGAGGUGAGCCACACUUAUUUUCAGAGACUCCAACUCGUCGUGCAAAUAGGCCUCACGUUGAGCACGCUCUUCAUCUUCCAUGUUUCUUGCUCGAAGUCGGGUGUUGUAGACUUUUUGGGGACCUAUAUUUCAAUCUGCAUGUAUGCAUGUUAAAUGUAUGAACAUGUAAUCUAUAUGACGAACUCGCCCUUCGAGGGGUGACAUAUGGUCGCAACUCUUGUAUGAUGAAACAAGAAUCUUGAUUCUUGCACAAACUCUACAAUGAAAAUUUUCUGAGCGACGGCCAUUGUGUCACCCAAAAGUCUGGAGUUCAAGAUGCUUCAAGAAGGGCUUGCUCGGAUGCAAAUAACGAUAGCACAUACAAACUAAGGACAAGUUUUAUUAUGUGAACAUGGGUAGGUUGGCUAUUCAGUCUCUAAAAAAGGGUCUCUUGCUGUCCCAGUGAUCGCCCUCGUGGAGGCAAUAUGGGGGCUUGUAGGCAAUGAGAUGGCACGUGUACCAACUGUUACCAGUCUAAGCACUCAGCGAAGAGUUGGGGUUUACACAAACUUAAACCUUGACUAAAAGUCGUAAGGUAAGCUGCUAGUCCCCCACUUAACUUAAAGUUUUUCAGUACAAACUCUCAUAUGAAUGAUGCAUGACACAAUCUAUAAUGCAUGAACAAAUAUGUACAAAUUUAAAGCAUAAGCAAAUAACUAAGGAAAUUCAUCUUAAAAAUAAACACAAUAAACAAAAAAAAAUAAAUAGACAAAACAAUGCUUAGUCCACAAGGUCCCCAGUGGAGUCGCCAUUCUGUCGCACGUCGGAAAAAAAAAUCGGAAUAUUUAUUCCUGGAAAAAGGGAGAGACAAGGAAUUCUUGUCUCUAUAUGAAAAAUGGACUGGGAGUCGCCACCUAGUAUUCUGGUUACUAGGAACCUUAACUGGUCUUUAGAGAUCGGGUACGGAGACUGGUUGCGUAAAGGGAAGGUAUUAGCACCCCAACUACGCCCUACCUAAGGUAGGCUGCAUUGUUUUAAUGUCUGAUAAAAUCUAAAAUCGUUGUUGUGUUUUUGAAUUGUUGGUUCGUUUACGGUUUAAGAAAAGUCCUCCUCUGUAAGGAGGUCCUUAUCUUUAUCGGGUAAAAAAAAACUAACUAUUCGAAGUCGUCAAAAGAAAAUAUUUUUUUAAUAUCAGGAAUACGAUUUACGUAUAAAUUCAUAAUCCCUGAUACUAAAAUCAAACAAAAUAAAAUAUUUUGUUGUUUUUGAAAUUUUGGCCAAUGUUCUCUUGACUUUAAUAAACUGGUUAUUAAAGCCAAAAUGCAUGCUAAAAUAUUGUUUUUUGACAUAUGAAAAUACGAUAUGAUUUUUUAGAUUUGAGACACUUGGCCGUAUGCACAAAAACAUUUUUUUUUUUUUUUUAAUUUUUUUUAUUUUUGGAAGUUUUUGCCGAAAACCAGGUAUUUUAAUACCGAUUUUAUGUUUACGAUAAAAAUACUGCCCGAUAUUAAUCAAAAUGACAUAAAAACUACGGGAAAAAUUAUAAAAUGCUGAAACAAAUAUUUUGAUUUUUGAUUUUUUUUUUUGCUGUGUGAACAGUACCGUAUGAACAGUACCGCGGGACGAAAACAGGUAUUUUAAUACCGAAUUUAUAUUUUUUUACGAUGUAAAAUACAGACCGAUAUUAAGCAAAAUUGAUAAAAACAUGUGCUGGAAAAAUUGUAAAAAUUCUAAAAAAUAAAAAUAAAAAUAAAAAAAUUGAAAUGGGCCGGACCCGACCCAUUUCAGUGGGCUGGGCCGAACCGGCCCAAAACUAAAUGGGCUGGUUACUGUGCAUAAGCACAGUAACCAGCCUCUCAUCAGUUGCAAAACGUGAAUUAAUUCACGUUCUGCAUGAAAAUAGAGAAGGCAGUUGCAAAGGGAGAAGGAGACGGGGCAGAGGUUGUUUACCUGUGGUGGCGUCGUGGCGGUGCUGCUGGCGGCGACGGUGGCGGAGGCGCAGUGGCCGGCGGGUUUUCUUCUCCUUCUUCCUCUGUUUUUUCCUCUUUUCUUCUGUUUCUGUUUUUUUUUUUUUCUCUUUUCUUCUCUUCUCUCUUCUCUUCUCUCUUCCUUCUCCCCUCUGCUGUCUCGGUUCGUCUCCCUCUUCUCUCUCGGUUUUUCCCUUCUGUCUCGGUUCGUCUCCCUCUUCUCUCUCGGUUUUUCCCUUCUUCUCUUCUGUUUUUUCUCCCCUCUUUCUUCUUUUCUCCCCUGUUUUUAUAGGCAAAAAACAGGGGAGACGACUGUUGGGGCGGCCACUGUUGGCCGCCCCUCCACUAUCCAAGUGGCCGAAAAAGUAUGCAAGUGGCUAUUGUGGGCGUCUUUUUGAGCAAAAGAAGGAAAGUAAUUAGGCGAAAAGGGGAAGAAAAAAUCUUCUUCUUCCCCUGCCUCGUGUGUCCAGGGGAAGAAGAAGAGCUACAGUGCCGUCAAAACGGCACCGUUUUGGGCUUCUUUUUUUUUUUUUAAUUUUUUUUUUUUUUGCAACAGUGAAUGAAACGGCGCCGUUUUGGUCAAAACGCGCCGUUUCAUUUAAAAGGAAAAGGCGCCAAAACUUGUCAGAUUCAAAUUUCAGCCCUCCAUUUUCGCGCGUUUUACAAUGUAGUCCUUGGUCUCGGAUUUCUUCAAUUAAGUCCCUAAUUGGCCAUAAACUUCAAUAUUUAUGCAAUUAAGCCCCUGAUUUGACCAACUUAACUUCCAAAAAUUAUAAUUUGACCCCAGAAAAUUAAUUUCUCCUAAUUAAAGCCCAAAUUAACUCCAAAAAUCAAUUUUUCUUGCAAUUAAAAUCUCUAUAAAUUCAAUUAAACCUUCAAUAAAAUUUAAUUGAGUCCAUAAACUUCUGAUUUUGCAUUUUUCUUCCACAAAUUGAAUUUUCUUUAUCAUCGGGGCUCUCAUCAGUCAAUGAUAUACUGUCAAAAAAUAAUUUUUAUAUUUUUGAAAAUCCUCAAUCAAUUUUUGAGCAUUUUUAGGGCGUUCCGGCAUUUUUUUACUGUUAUAUUUUUGAUAAUAUAUUUUUUGAAUUUUUUUGUAUUUUAUUAUUUUUUAUGUGGGGACCCAGAAAUGGGUUACAACAGGAGUGUAAAAAAAAAUUAUAGACAUCCAAUUUUUAAUCACAACGGCCCAAUUGCAAGAUCGCUCUACCACUCGAGCAAUAUCCCCUCGAGCCAAGUGGAGCAUGUAUGAAGGAGUUAAAUGCUUCUUUUAUUCUCUUUUUUUUGGCACAGUGAGGCCAUCCUGGACUUGAACUAGAGACCUCGCCCGUGAAGUAAAUCAUUGCACCUAUGAUUUAACCAAUUAGGAGUGAAUCAAUAGAUUCCCUUUCAAGAGUGAUUCAUCCUUUUUGAACGCAACAUACAACUCUCCAGUGUACUGCGCUCUCCAAGUGUGCUUAUUCCCCCUUUUUUCCUUACCUUGACAAAUCUUUUUGAAAUAACUGUAAUGAGAAGAAGGAAAAAAAAAGGUGUUAAGAGGCCAUCCGAGCCCUACCUUGGACACUCUAAGAUCCUUUUUCAAACCUGCUCCCAUUUCAAGUCAAGUUAUAGAUAAAUAGACACAUUCCAUUUCACUAAUUGGGGGUAUUUGUAUUGACUGAGGGGCUUGAAGACUAAGAAGUUAGUUAUUUAUCAGCCAAGUAUUCUUCUUACAGGAAAAAAAUUUCAUGUUCUUCUUUUCGAGACGGGAGGGCUGGGAAAAUCCUAUUGAUUGCAGCUUUCUCUUGGUCCCUCUGUUUCUCUAAAAUGAAAGGGGUGAUCUCGUAGUUCUUGGUCUGUGAAGAUACGUUGUUAGGUGUUCCAUUUUAUUUUCCCAUUAAGGCCAAACCUAAUAUGCCUUGGAUGAUCCAUAUCCCAGGGUUAGGCAUUGUUGCGCACAUUGAGCUAUCCAUGUGGUUGAGAACCCUCACAGGCCAGACACAAAGACAUAAUUAUCAGGCUCGAUAUUCCAGAAGCAAGAUAAACCCAAUCCCUCUCUUUCCUUUUUACAUCCCCAUGUUGCUGCACAACAGGGACACGAGGGCAUAAAAAAAGGAUCGUAUCAACUUGUUAUGACCUAGGAUAAUAAGCUCAUGAGCUUGGUCUUACUUCACCAUCGAGAAACGAAAAAAGACUUUUGUCGACAAGUUUAACUCAGACGUAGCUCAUUUCUUUUUGGGUGUGAAGUAGUGUCAAACCCAAAUACCCAACAAGCAUUACCUCUCCUUGAAAAGAAGGUGAUAUUCCAGCCGCACCUUUUAGUACAACUACCUUGUUAUGACUUCACUCUAGACACCAGCCCUGCCUUUAGUAUCCCUCUUUGCAAUUAAGGUAAUGACUUCAGGCAUGGCCAGCUCCCGUAGUGUGACAAGUAGUGUGUACAAGGCUCAGAAAUGAAUUCACAAUCAUAUGGUUAACUAACGGGUACCAGCUAUUCUGGCUUCAUAUAGGCAAGUUGCAGCACAACGAGAUUGCGACCCUUUGUCCCAACCAUUAUACACGUGCGUUGCCCAGGGCAUUAGGGGCAUGAUGACUUGACAUCAUCCUUACCUUCCUCCGAGUUAUCACUAGUUGUCUGCUAAGGGCUCCAAACUUAACGGUGGCAACUAAACACAAGGGUUAUGCUAGUUGUGGGAUUUAACCCAACACCUCAUGAUACAAGCUGAUGAUAGCCAUGCACCAUAUGUGUCCACAUUCCCGAAGGCACCCCUCUAUUUCAUGAGGAUUCACGCCAUGUUAUGCCUUGGUAAGGUUCUUCACUUUGCUUCAAAUUAAACCACAUGCUCCACCGCUUGUGCGGGCCCCAUUAAUUCCUUUAAGUUUUAUUCUUGCAAACAUACUUCCCAAGCGAGAUUCUUAACUUGUUAGCUACAACACUGCAUAGGUUGAUAUGCACAGUGCCCGAUAUCCAUUGUUUAUGGAUAGGAUUGCUAGGGUAUCUAAUCACAUUCGCUCCUCUAGCUUUCGUCUCUUAGUGUUAGUGUCAGCCUAUUAUAGUGCUUUCACUAUUGGUGUUCCUUUUGAUCUCUAAGCAUUUCAUCACUCCACUGAAAAUUCCCUAUGCCCCUACCAUACUCCAACUUGGCAGUUUCCACUGCCUAUCCAGGAUUGAGCCUUAGGAUUUGAUGGGGAACUUAAAAAGCCAACUACCAAUACUUUUAAGCCAAAUCAUUCUGGAUAACGCUUACAUCCUCUAUAUUACCGUGACUGUUAGCAUAGAGUUAAAGAAUGCUCAUUCCCAAAUACUGUCAUUGCUUCUUCUACAGGAAAAUAAGUUCAUAACUCAUAGGCCUUCUACCUCCAUUCGAUAUUGUUUUGUAAAGCUUAAACCCAUUGCGGAAUAUUCUCCAUUACUGCCUCCUGUAGGAGUCUGGGUCGCGUCUCAGUCCAGUGUGGCUGAUCAUCCUUUCAGACUAACUAUUGAUAAUUGCCUUUGUAAGCUAUUGCAUCACCAACUAACUAAUCAGACGCGAGCCGUUCCUUCAAUGAAUUCUUCCUUUUUCUCCUCAACCUAUGAGGUAUUAGCAGUCGUUUCCAGUAAUUAUUCCCCUUCCAAGGACAAGUUCUUACAUGUUCUUACAUGUCUGACUUGCAUGUGUUAAGCAUGCCGCUAAUAUUCAUCCUGAGCCAAGAUUGAACUCUCCAUGAGAUUCUUAGUUGUAUUACCUAUAGCUUGUUUUAUAAACAAAGCUGAUUUGAAAUUGUCUUUCAUUUCAAGGCUUGUAUCCAUGUGCUUCAUAUUCACUUAGAGUUUGCUCCAAGAAAUAUAGCCAUACCUACCCCCUCACAUCAAUCCCACGAGCCUCUUAUCUAUCUUCAUUCGAUCACGGUGAAGGGUGAGUAAGUCAAAAUGGAAAAACUAACAUUAGGCUUACGGGUAAUCAGGCUUGAACUAAUGACUUUCACCACGUCAAAGUGACACUAUACCGUUGAGUUAUAUACCUUCCCUUGCCCCCAUCAAGAAAUAUAACUGACUAAUCCUAAGUCAAAGGGUCAAGAAACUCAACGCCACUAUUCUUGAACAACUUGGAGUCAAACCCUUUUUUCUCACUAUUAUGGAUAUGAAAAUAAUGGGAAAAUUGGAUUCAAUUAUCAACUGCUCCUUGUAAAAAAUAGGAUUGACUAUGGACUCGAGCCAUAACAUAUGGUUUUAAAAAGCAUAUGGAAAGGAUGAUUGAUUCAGAUCGACAUGAGAGUCCAACUCCAUUGAAUUGCUAGAAUCCAUGUUGUAAAUUUGAAAUAGGUGGAUUUCUCCUCGGUCCAUAGAGACAAAAUGUAGGACUGGUACCAACAGUUCUCCUUGGAAGAAAUGACUCACUGAGCUGACAUCAUUAACUAAUACUAAUAUAAUACAAAAUAACUAUCUUUUCUGUAUACUUUCCCCGAUUUCAUUGUUACUAUGUGUCUUAUGCAAUCGAUUAGAACAUAUAGAUAUCCUUCACCACAAUAUAAGUCAUUGAAAGGAUGUCGGAGACCCACCAAAGCAUGAAAGCUAGGAUCUUUCAGAAAAUAGAUUCAUAUUCGAAGAGUGCAUAACCGUAUGGAUAAGCUCACACUAAUUUGUCAAUUUAGGAUCCAAUUUAGGAUUUUUCUUAGGAGAUGUCGGGAAGGAAUUGGAAUGUAAUAACAUCGAUUCAUACAGAUAGAGAAGAAAAGGUUCUCUAUUGAUUCAAAUGUUGUAAAGGGCAACAAAAAAGGACAAAACCAAAGAUUUCAUAGAGCUUUUGAUAAAAAAAAUCAAUCUGAUUUAUUUCGUACCCUUCGCUCAAUGAGAAAGUGGUUCAAAUUCUACAAGAUCAAACCUAUGAUACUUAAGGAAUGAAAGAAGGAAAUAAAAAAAAAAUAGGGAAAAAUAAUAAAUAAAAUAAAUAAAUAAAGAAGAGCCCAGAUUCUAAAUGAACAAAUUCAAACUUGAAUUAUUUUUUUUCUUCUGAUUCUCGAAGAAUGUGGGGUAAAGGGAUUGAUCGAAAAAGAUCUAUUGUUCUUAUUCUUAUUAUAAGAUCAUGAUGGAUGUGAAUAUGUUUGGUAAAAAGAAGAAUCUUCUCCUUUGAGAAUAAUCAAAGAAGGAAAGUGUUCAAUUGAAACAUGAAAACAUGAUUGAAUUUGUUUUAUUUACUUUUCGGGACUGAGUGGAUAGAGGGAGGAGCUUCUCAACCGAUGAAAAGGGUCCAAUGACUUUGAAAUAAUUAAACGAGGAGUCGUAUGAGGUGAAAAUCUCAUAUUCAGUUUUGUAGAGUGGCAAUAAGGGUGAUUUAUUAAACUUUUCCACAAUCACCCAAAAAAACACUCUACCAUACAUAAAGUUUCUAGGCUACAAUUAACCUCUGAAUUUGAAAUUAUUGCUUAUAUACAUAGUAUUGUCCAUAAUUCACAAGAACAUUUUAUGGUCUUAGUAAGAGGGGGAAGGGUUAAGAAUUUCUGACUGUAAAGGUAGAGAUUAAAAUGAAGAAAUAUUUAAGGAGAAAGUUGUAGUUUUCUUUUUAACUUCCUUCCAUCUAUGUUUCUCCUGUUUAGAAGGACAACAAAAUAGAGACAAAAACCUAUUUUUAUCUGUCUUGACAAUCACAUGUGUUUUCCUCCCUUGUGUCUCCAUUUAUUCUGUCUUGAUCAAACAACAAGAAAUUGUUAUAUCUUCACUGUGUGAGAAUAUUAGCUAAAAACUACCUUUAUGCACCAGAAUUAUUAAUCUUGUUUUGGCAUCUUAGUUCAGUAUAAUUUGGUCAAUAUAUAAGCAUAGUCGGCUCUGCACUCUUAGCUUUGCCCUAGACUAAGAGAGCACAUCAUUCUCCGCCGUGCAGGGGCUUGGCAAGCACAAAACCUUUAGUCGCCAGCCUUGUGUUUCACGCCCCUUGGUGAAAUAAUAGAAGCAUAUUGCGAAGUAACAAGCCCAGUCUGUCUUCUGUCGUCCCAUAUGGCAAAAAUAACAAAGGUCACAAGCAGGAGCGCACUAUAAAAGAAAGCUUACGAGCUCUGAAUCAAUCAUACCUUUCUCGGCCUUUUGGCUAAGAUCAAGUGUAGUAUCUGUUCUUAUCAGUUUAAUAUCUGAUACGUGGGCCAAUGGCUCACACGAUAUUAAAUUUAUUUUUUAAGGGCGAGGGUCCAUCACAGUAGCUUGCUCCUGGGGCUCUCGAUCGUCGCCUUUGCGCUGCACUAUAGCAUUGGCCUGGCGCUCCCCACCAACUCUAUUACCCAAAGCUUUGAUUUGUAGUGUGUGCGGGUUCUAUGAUUGUAGGGGUUCUUCAUGCUUCAGUAACCAAUCACUGACUAGAAUGAUUUAGAGAACAAAUUGAAAGUAAGGGAAGCCAAUGCUUUGGUUUGCAGUUUUUGAUGGAUCGAAUGAAUGCAAGUCAUUGAUGGUUGGGAGACAGUAAAGUUCUUUACUUUGAAUUUCAUCUGAGCUGGUUUUUUUCUUUCGAUGUUUGUUUAGGUGCUUCUCUUUACCUGUUUUCUUUAGUUUUUCUUAUUGAUUUUAAGGUAUUUUGCUGAUUAUUAAACCCUCUUUUUCCUAUACCCGAAAUCAAAGACCUCGCCAUAAUCUUGACAAUGGUGCAUGUGUGGAGGAGGAAAUUCUUGGGGCAGUCCUAACCUAUAUACUAGUAUUUGUUUUGUCUUAGAUUGCUAAUUUUUAGGGAACCCUUUACGAUUAGGUUGAGAAUGGUUAACAAUCUCUGUUAUCUGACUACUGAUAAGCAAACAAACUAGAAGAGGCCAUGGCCAUUGUUAACAGAAAAUAGAUAUUGAUUUUAACUCUCUCAAUCCUCAUGCUGCCAUUGGAACCUGUCUUACAUGUUCAUUAUCUUAGAGUCGUGUCUGUGAAUUGGGUUUUUGUUGUGAUUUUCAAACAUGCAACGUUUCCUCCAUUAUUACCACAUCUGAUAUAACAUGCAUAGUUUUUCUUAUCUACUUUUUCUUUAGAAUAUUGGUAGAUUAUGAUUAAAAAAAUAGUUUUGCAGAGUCAGGAUCUUGAAAGGAAUUGGAGCUUUCCCAAAUAUAUUCUCUGCUCAGCAUUCACACAUCAGAAUAUCUGCCUAAAUAGUCACUAUUCACGGAAAACAUACCUUCUUCGAAUAUCCAUACCUUUGUAUGUGUUGGGAUAAAACUUCAAGUUUCACUAUAUCUGGUGUUUUUGCAUUCAACAACUUCUCCUCACCAAAUUAGUGUUUUUUGCCAUGUUUCUUUAUUUUCAGUUGGAUUUUUUCAGUUAUUGCUCCUCUCAAUGCAUACACGUUUUAUACUCUGCAUCUAUUAUCUUCCAAGUAGAUGUCUAUGGCUUUGGAUAUUUGUAGUCCACGCUUUCGCCGAGGUUUCAGCCGAGCUUUUCAUAUUCAUUUGUUUUUGUGCUGCAAUGGUCUGUACUUUUAUUUUGGCAUUUCAAGUAUCCUAUUAGAGCUUCAACAGGCAUCUCCUUUCAUUUUCGAUGCAAAAUUCUUUGGUUUUCCUUAGUUGAUGCCAAUUGCUUUGGAGAUUGGAUUUUUCUGCUUCCAACAUUGAAACCGAGCCUUUGUAAACAGCUUCGUCUGAGACUGGCUACGCUUUUAUCCUUUGUCCUUGAUGUAAGUUUAUUGACUUUCAUUUAGUCUAGGAACUGGAUAUUUUAUGUCUCUUGCGAUUCAUUUUUUUAUGCAUUUGUCUUUGAUCUAUUUUGUUGUGUUUUCCAUUUAGUUUCUGAAGAACAUUCAUAGCUUUCAUUUAAUCUUAGCUUUCAAAGGCCAUUACUUUUCCUUAGGUUUGGAUUUGUGGUAUUUUGGUGAGACAAUCAAACAAGUUUAGUGUUUUUGAACACACAAGCCUUACAAUUCAGGGAUUUUGACGGAUGACAUGAAAACUGCUCAAUUGGCACUAUAUUGAUUAUUCAAAGGCAGAAUGGAUUCCUCUAACUUGACUCCUAUGGUUUGAUUGGAUGAGAAUUCAAAUAAUUAGAAGUCAAGAGCCAUACAAUAUUUUGUCGGACUUAUACAUCUAAAUGUCUAAUGAGUGACUUGGACGUGUGGCUAAGUCAAUUCCUCAUAAAUAUUUUGUUUAUUUAUUUUGAUGGUUAAUUUAAUAGAAUUGGAGAGAGCUAAUUAAGAGAAGGAGAAAAGAGACUUUCCUAUCAUUCAUUAUGUACAUGUACUUGUGAUAUAUAUAGGAAAAGAUAGCUAACUCUAAUGGGCUAUCUAUAAUGAAUCAUAUUAAAAUAGAUAGUUGUUAGGAUACUGGCAUGCAAACUCGACAAGAUAAAAGGCAAAUGAUAGGAUAAAAUGAGAAAUUAGACACACAAAAAUUUAUGUGGUUCAUCCAAUUUAGCUACGUUCACAGGCAAAUACCUCAUAAUUUUAUGGGAUUACUUUCCCUCUUUCACUCUCAUCUUAUUAUCUCUUGUUUUUCUCUUGUGAUAUAUAUAAGGUAAGGAUGCACUGUCUAUUUAUAGGCAAACUUCCUUACCUUUGUCUUGCAAAAAAAAAAAAACACCAAUUGGUGCUGCAAGUGGCACCGAAUUGGUGCUCACUUCGUUGACUUAGGCAGAACCAAUUGGUGCUAGUAGGUAGCAUGCUAGUGCCAGCUAGCUUCACAAUAGCUAGGUUUAGAAUUAUGUUUAAUCAUUUUACAUUAAUAUUCCUUAGCAAGUCGAAUGGGGAAGACACCACUUUCAACUUGGGUAGUAGAAAUAUAAGUUAUGAUAAUGAGAGAGGUUUAGUGAGAACAUCAACAAUCCGAUCAUCAUUAAAAGCAAUAAAUUGAACCUAAAGAUGCUUGCUAGCAACCAUGUCAUAGAUGAAGUGAAAAUGGAUCUUCAUAUUUUCAUUUGAGCAUGGAAAACUAUUUGAUUGCUAGAUAAAUGGCUCCUAAGUUAUCCACCACAUAAGAGGAGUUAUAGUAGAAAUCCCAAGUUCAAGAAGUAGAAACUUGAUCCAAUAUAAUUUUGUAGUAGCAUUACCAAUGACUUUAUACUAUGCUUUUGCAAAAGAUGAUUUUUAUGAAAUCAAGUUUUGAUCAAGAAAAAUAGUAUAACUAUUAGUAGACUUUUGAUCUUCAACACUACAAACCCAAUCAAAAUUACUAAAUCUAUUAAGAGAGAGAGAUCACUCUUACCAGUCAAGUUCAAAUCAAAGGAUAAAGUGCCAUAUAAAUAAGGCAAGAUGCGCUUAAUUGCCAACCAAUGUAUGUUAGUGGGAGAAUGCUUGAAUUGGACUAUAUUGCACAUGAUAAACAUAAUUAUAUGCCUAAUUAUCUUUUGUAUUAUAGUCCAUUAUACAAAGUCUAUCAAGUUUAUCUAUCUUUACCUGAGUGUGUGUGUGUGUGUAAAUAGAGGGCCUCACCCUAAAGAAGGGGAAGAAAAAAGAGAGAGAAUUCUUGGAGAUAUAAUUUUUUUCUUCAAGACAAGCUCUUCAAGUAAGGAAGCUCUCUUAGAAGCUCUCAAGCUUCCUUCAUCUAUGCUUGAAAUCUACAAAGAACAAACUUCUAUUGGAUCAAGCUUAAACGCCCCAUAAGAGUUCUUCAACAAAAUAUCUUCUUCAAGACAACAAGCUCUUUAAGCAAAGAAGCUCUCUCAAAAGAUCUCAAGUCUCCUUCAUUUACGCUAAAGUCUACAAAGAACGAGGCUCUCUUGAAUCAAGUCUAAACACCCUAUAAAAGUUCUUCAACAACACUUUGAAGAUAAAUUAAAGAUAUUCUUCAAAGCAUCAAAUCACUGAAUCUCGCUCCACAAUACAUGCCUAAGUUUGUGUUCUUGCGAAGCACAAAUCUUGGCUUGAUUUAACAAAUAAAUCAAGUUAUCAUAUAUCAAAUACAAGGAAAGAAUUAGAUGAUUGUCUUAUUCUUUUGAAAGCAUAUUUUAGAUAAAGAUUGUGUCUAUAGACACUGCCAUUGAUAAAAAAUGAGAUUUCUGUCUAAGCGAGCUAAACUUGAGAUCCACAUAAUUUAAAACACUUUCACAUGUGAUAUUAGCAACAUUCGUUGGAUUAAUGAUGGAAAAAAGUUUUGAUUUAAAAAAAAAUAGAAAGAAGAAGAAAGAAACAAUUAAGUUUUUCAGAUGAAAAAAAAUAAAAUAUAAAGAAAAAGAAGAAACGGUCAAAUAAAUUAAGACAGUGUUAGGUUACUAUUUUGGGAUCUAAAAGACAAAACAACUGAGAUAAAAGGGAUAAGAUGAAGACAAAUGAAACGAAGAUGGAGUUGUGUUUAUUAGUUGCGUAUAAGACAAAGUUAAUGUCUUUGCAUGCGGUUUGGUUGAUGAGGAAAAAGAAAGAAUAAAAUGUGAAAGGUCUAAUUUAAUAUUAUCAUCAAACUUACAAUGCUUAAAAUUAUUAAAUAUUUAAAUUAACUUAUAAUGGUAAUUUCUCCACUCAUCAAAAUUAUGUUAAAAAGGAUUUGUAAUCAUCGUCGAAAAGAUAAUAUAUAGAUUACCAAGAAGAUAAUUUAAUUAAAUUAUGAUUAAUUUCCUAUCGUCUCUCAUUAUAAUCUCCCUUGUUUAUAUUUCUGUAUUUGUUUUGUGAAAAAAUUCUUCUAUAUUUUUUAGUUUUCAGAUAUAAAGGGGAAAAUUUGUAAGUUAAUUAAAAUCAAUUGUACAGAUCUGAACGGAAGGGCAGGGAUUAAAAUUAGCUAGAAAUUACUUGUAAUACAGAGACAAAAACCUAUUUUUAUCUGUCUUGACAAUCAAAUGUGUGUUUUCCUCCCUUGUGUCUCCACUUAUUCUGUCUUGAAACAACAAGAAAUUGUUUUAUCUUCAUCGUGUGAGAAUAUAAGCUAAAAACCACCUAUACGCACCAGAAUUAUUGAUCUUGUUAUUGGGAAAAACUGAAGGAUGAGCUAGAAAGCAUAACGGGCAAGAAAUUGCAUGGAAACAAGAAGUUUUGGCUCCUUAGUUCAGUAUAAUUUGGUCAAUAUAAAAGCAUAAUUGGCUCUGCACGAUCUUGGCUUUGCCCAAAACUAAGAGAGCACAUCAUUCUCCGCCGUGCAGGGGACUUGGCAAGCGCAAAAACUUUUUGUCGCCACCCUUGUGUUUUAGGCCCCCUUGGUGAAAUAAUAGAGGCAUUUUACGAAGUAACAAGCCCAGUCUGUAUUCUGUCGUCCCAUAUGGCAAAAAUAACAAAGUGCACAGCAGGAGCACACUAUAAAAGAAAGCUUACUAGCUCUGAAUCAAUCAUACCUUUCUCGGCCUUUUGGCUAAGAUCAAGUGUAGUAUCUGUUCUUAUCAGUUUAAUAUCUGAUACGUGGGCCAAUGGCUCACACGAUAUUAAAUUUAUUUAUUUAGGGGGAGAGUCCAUCACAGUAGCUUGCUGCUGGGGCUCUCGAUCGUCGCCUUUGCGCUGCACUAUAGCAUGGCCUGGCGCACCCCACCAACUCAAGUACCCAAAGCUUUGAUUUGUAGUUUUUUGGGGUCUUUCAAGCUUCAGUAACCAAUUGUAGACUAAUGAAAGGAAGAGAAUCUAAUGCUUUGAUUUGUAGUUGUGAUGGAUCUAAUGAAAGGAAGUCAUCGAUGGUUUGGAGACAGUAAAGUUCUUUACUCUGAACUUCAUGCCCCCCAACUCAUGUUCAG